rnacentral:lncRNA from 1 species
CCUCUUUUUGCAGAUUGCUUCUAUACGUCUUUAUUCUCUUCCUCUCUAAAUUUUCCUCCAUAUUACUAAGGCUUUAGACCCACAGCAGUCUACUAUAUUUUAUUCAAUUUCACAAGCAACUAAGAGAAAAAUCUCAAGAAACAAGUUCCCACAAUUUGCUUUUCAAGUGCAUAUUAUAAUACAAGAUUCAUUACGUAAGGUGAGAUGCUCAGUGCUAUUAGUGGUUUGUCCACAUCUUUUCAAAUACGUUGUUAUGUAUGGAUUUAAUUACUUCAGUUCAGAGCUCCUUUGGGAGAAAUCAUGAUACAGUUUAAGGCACAAUUUAGCCUUCACGUUAUUUGCAGCGCUUGCUUGAAUUAUCAUUUGUCAUGGUGUGAUAAUUCUCAUGUUAUGUUGGUAAGAGAAUUUAUGCAUAAUUUCACGUUUGAUUUGAAUGUGGAGUAGCAAGCAUCUCAUUGAGUAUAAUUCGUUAUACUCAUCCCUCUCUAUUUAAAAUUUUCAGGUAGAAAUUAGUAUGCUGGACGGCGGUGGAUGGAUGCAUAUUGGACCAAUGGAUCUCCUUCAUGAAGUACUUUAAUUUUUAGAAACACUAGAAUAUUUAAUAACAGUUGAUUAUUAUUAUUUUUAUAUUUAGACUCAAUUGUGAGUCACGUCAUAACUUUCAAUUAGUC